GGAAGAGGAGGAGCAAGGAAGAAGAAAAGAAAAAGGGUCUGAUGCAACUCCCAUCUCUGUCCCACUGCUGUGUGUACUUAUAUGCUUCACUUACGCAUGAGAGUUGGGCUGUUGCUUUCAGUGGGACUACCCAGUCCAGGUGGACAAACAUAAGCCUUUGCAAGUUCAAAAUCUAUUAAAGAAGGCUUCCCAUUAGUGGAAGCUGGAGUCAGAUGUAGCUGUAGCAUUUAUUUCCCUGUGGUCACAAAGGCGUCUGAAUUGCCAGUUUUGUUCCCUGUUUCUGUUUUCAGACCAUUGGCUUAUACAACUCUCGUGAGCCUCUCGCAAGCCAUGAUAACAUUGGAGGUAUUUCUUUCUAAUUUAGUGAUGAAAGUUUUCCUUACCUACCACAUUUGAACUCACACAAUGAAAUGUUCCUGCACAAAAGCAAAUUCUUUUUAUAUGCCCUGAAAUUUCUUUUAAAUGGCUUAUAGAAAAGUUCGUCUCUGGGCUCCCUGACCAGCAUCAGCUGAGAUGAAGGAACUUGGAGGGAAGCAAGUUCGAAACGAAUAGAAUGAAAAUAGCUGAUACCCAAUCGCUCAGCGAUAUUUAACUGAGUCCCAGCAAGAAUUGGAUGCAAGAACAAGAAGUCAAUGAGUUCAGGUAGGAACUAUGAAAUAUUUCCACAAACAGUGGCUUUUUCAUGGCUCCUUUGAGGGAUGACUUUGAUGUGUAAGUGCAAAUUCCAGCUGAAACUUCCUCCUGUGUUGCAGUGUUUUGCAGGUUCUUUUCCUUCAUCACCCUCCUGGUGUCUGAUGAGAUGUGAAUUCCUGCCUUUCCAUGGUAGGAGGCUGUCUGGGGAUAAAUCAUCUCCUUCACGUGAAUUUUUAUUUAUGAAGAGAGAUACACUGGCAAUCUUGUUGAAAAAAAAAGAAUAAGAAAGGAAGGGAAAGAGAAAAGGAAGAAAAAGAGAAAAGAGGUCUUGCAUCCUUUAAGCUGGACAAAAAAAAAAAAAAAGAUGGACAAUUUCUGGAGGAAGUAGGUCUGCUUGUUACAAGUCUCCCAUUUUUUCCUUGCUUGGAAACAAUUUGAAAAGAAGGCGUUGGCUUUGCUUUCCUUUUGGAUUUUUAGGGGGUAAGUUCUUCCGAAAUGGUGUUUUUUUGAAUGCUGAUAUUCUCUUAUCAAAGUAUAGCCAAACUCUGGGCUAUAACCCAAGUGCAGGGACUGUGCAUCAUAUUGAAAUUCUAGAACCGUAACUUGGAUGGUUUCAUCAGCUAACAAAAGAAGUAGAUGAAUGUCUUUUCCACCAACACCAGGCAUAUGCCCACAGAAUCCUUUACUCUGGUGUUAGUGUCUUCAAAUAGUUGUAAUUGCCACAGAUUGCCACAAUCCCACAACAUUCAUUCUAUAUCUGCAUGGCAUUGAACAUUCAUCCGGAGGAGUAGCAAAUAUAUGUUUAGAAACCUACUGCAUGGAGCAUGAGGUUUUACAAGCUAUUAAAACAUAAAAUUAAGGAAAUACUAGAGAUCUUUAAGCACAGAUAGGCUGAACUUCGAGCUCAACUGGUAAGUUGAGGUUUGGUAAGUCAAAGCACAAAUAACUUUUAUAAAAUGCUGCAUCCUGUCCCUCAGGUGAAAGUCAGGUAUUAUAAAACCACCCACAACA
ensembl:lncRNA